AUGUACAUAUGUAUGUAGUUGGUGAAUUUUGUUUUGCUCUGGGAUAACUGUAUUCUACUACAUACAGCAAACAUACCUACAUACGUCCAAGCUUAUGAAAAAGUUGUCAGUUGUGUGAUUUAUUUCAACUGUGAAGACGCUCGGGUAGAAAAUUGAUAUGCGAAAAUUGAUAUGCGAAUGUAAAAAUCUGCGCAAUUAAAAUGCAACGAAGAAACCAGAUUCUAUCUCGUCAAAGAAUUGAAGAAAUUGUCAAUGAUGAUGACGAGUCACUUGAUGAAGCGUCUGAUGAAGAUCAAGAUUUUCAAUGUGAUGAAUCCGAAAUAAAGGAGUCUGAUAUAUCUACAGAUUCUUUUGAUAGCAUUGAAAGUCUUAGCAGAGAAGCACAAGGAAAUAAUGAAUGUUUUCCUGCAAAAGAUGGUACGAUUGUUUGGUAUAAAGAUCCGCAACAAAUGCAAUGCAGCAGAAUGUGACAAGAAUGCAUUCUUUCAAAUAAACCAGGCCCUUCACAACACGCACGUUCCUUGGUUGCUAGCAUAAAAUGUGCUUUCGAUUUAUUCAUGUCACUAGAACUGAAACAAAUUAUUGUUGAAAUGAAGUCUAACGGGGAAAGCUUGAGAUGUUUAUGGGAUGAAACAAAUGGAAGACCCAUAUUCGGCGCUGUUAUGCAUAUUAAACGAUUUAUGCAAAUUUCACGAUGCCUCCGUUUUGAUAGCCAUGAAGAUAUGGAAACCAGACGGUUACGUGAUAAGCUAGCUCCAAUAAGAAAUAUUUGGGACAAAUGGAGCAAAAAUCUUAAACUGAUGUAUAAUCCAAAUGAAAAUGUUACCGCCGAUGAGCAGCUGGUACCUUUUCGUGGAAGAUGCUGUUUUAGACUUCCAAACUUGCCAAAUAUGGCAUAAAAAUAUGGGCUCUUUGCGAUUCCAAGUCCAACUACGCGUGGAAUAUGGAUGUCUAUCUAGGAAGGGCCAGAAAAGAACCAAGGUGAAAAUGUAGUUAUAAAUAUCACGCAAUUUGGAAAGAGGUUAUACCGUCACGUGUGACAACUUUUUUACAACCUACAAUUUGGCUGUCGAAUUGCUACGACGUAAAAUAACGGUAGUAGGAACAGUUAGAAAGAACAAGAAGUUUCUUCCCCUCCAAGCUAUUGUCGUCAGGAAAAAACCAGAGUAUUAUUCGGAAUUCUUUUUCACACAAAAUGUGACUGUUGUGACCUACAUGCCAAAUAAAUACAAAUUCGUUGUUGUAAUGAGUACUCUUCAUCAUUCGGCAGAGACCAGGGAUGAUCAGAAAAAGAAACCAGAAAUAAUACAUCACUAUAAUGCGACUAAAGCAGGUGUUGAUGCGCUGGACCAAUUAGUAGCAAUGUACACAUGUAAACGCCAAACGAAAUGAUCGCCAGUUGCACUCUUUUCAAUAUGGUCGAUGUUUCGGGAUAUAACGCAUAUGUUAUAUGGACCGAACUUAAUCCCGAAUGGAACAGAACUAAAAACUUUAAGCGGCGAUUAUUUUUAGUAGACUUGGCCACAUCUUUGGUAACCCUAUGGUCCUUCUGCAAAAAGAGUUGUGGAAAACAUCCAGGAAGCAGUUGCAGCAGACACUCCCAGUUUAUCCACGGUCGUGCAGCCUCAAAAUUCUCCUUUAUGCUUCUUGGGUAAGAGACAAAGGUGUUUUUAUUGUCCACAUACUAAAAACUCCAACAAGCAUUCAGUUCGUUGCGAUAAAUGCUUGAAAUUUAUAUGCAAACAACAUAGUGUAAAGGCAGUGUAUAAAUUGUCAGGAUUGAUCUAUUUUUUACUGACUCCUAUUGAAAACAAUUUUGAAUUUGUUAAUUUUUUGUUUGAAUAAUAAAACAAGUAAGGAAGGGCUAAGUUCGGGUGUAACCGAAUAUUUUAUUC